rnacentral:lncRNA from 1 species
CAAAGCACUGGAUCCGGGUGUUGGAAGACUCAAGCUGCUCCUCAUUGCUGCCCAUUCAGUUACCCAAGGCAAGUAGAGAAUAUAAUCCAUCUCCUUACACCUGUUUCUGCCCACUUCCUUAGAGGAAAUGGGUUAAGCAGUCAGGGUGAAGAAGAAGACCAGAAGAUUCCAGAUGUUGGCUGUGAAGCAUUUCCUCCGUCUGAGCCUUGGCAGGUGUUAUUUUCUAGACACACCACCACUGAAAUAAAGCUGAUGGUUGGUGAUGCAAGCCUAGAAGAAUUUCCAGAAGAGGCUCUUAAAGAAUAUGUGUGUUUGGAGAGAACAUUUCCUGCACCUAUCAGCAGCAACAUCUCCACCAUACCGUCCUUAAUUAUUGAGAAUGUCUAGAGAAGAAUUAUACAGGCCACAAAGUGGUAAAUGUUUGUAGGAUCAUUUGGUUUUUAUCUGACUGUGCUGUUUUACUGCUGUCUGUGCUGAGCAAAGCCAUUUCUAACACUAAGCUGUGGUAGUAAGGACCAGUACCACGACAAGAUCAUAUGCUGUGGUGGGUGACGACGUUUCCUACUUUACAAUGGAUACUAUUGGUUUUAAAAAGGGCAGUCAAAUCUAAGCCCAAUUUAGAGAUAAAGGAAUGAUCAAGGGUCUCAAAUUUACCCAUCAGUUUCAGACCCUGGGCAACAGAUUGAGCAGCUGUACAGGGGACUGAGAGAUACAUAC